GACGUAGGAGGCGAGCGUUGUCCGGAAUCAUUGGGCGUAAAGAGCGCGCAGGCGGCUUGGUAAGUCGGAUGUGAAAUCCCGAGGCUCAACCUCGGGUCUGCAUCCGAUACUGCCCGGCUAGAGGUAGGUAGGGGAGAUCGGAAUUCCUGGUGUAGCGGUGAAAUGCGCAGAUAUCCGGAGGAACACCGGUGGCGAAGGCGGCUUCCUGGACCGACACUGACGCUGAGGCGCGAAAGCUAGGGGAGCAAACGGG
rnacentral:rRNA from 1 species